rnacentral:rRNA from 1 species
AUUGAACGCUGGCGGCGGGCCUAACACAUGCAAGUCGAACGAGUGGCGGACGGGUGAGUAAUGGCUGGGAAACUGCCUGAUGGAGGGGGAUAACUACUGGAAACGGUAGCUAAUACCGCAUACCAUCGGAUCUGCCCAGAUGGAAUUAGCUUGUUGGUGGGGUAACGGCUAACCAAGGCGACGAUCCCUAGCUGGUCUGAGAGGAUGACCAGCCACACUGGAACUGAGACACGGUCCAGACUCCUACGGGAGGCAGCAGUGGGGAAUAUUGCACAAUGGGCGCAAGCCUGAUGCAGCCAUGCCGCGUGUAUGAAGAAGGCCUUCGGGUUGUAAAGUACUUUCAGCGGGGAGGCGUUACCCGCAGAAGAAGCACCGGCUAACUCCGUGCCAGCAGCCGCGGUAAUUC